CCAUUCAUUACUAGAGAAUAUGAAGCAGAAGAUAUACAAGCCAUUAUCCAUCCUGUGAACUUGGCAGGGAAGCCCAAUGUAAUAAGAACUUGCUUCAAAAAACUCCAUUCUAACGUAUCAUAUGCCUUCCUUAGAUCUACUUUAAGAACACAUCUAGGUGAAAUCCCUUUCCUAGUGUAUCCUUUGAAUAUUUCAUGACUU
rnacentral:lncRNA from 1 species